AGUAGUUAGUAUACAUAAUAUUCGUGACAAGUGCAAAAUUGCUUCACUUCCUUUUUUAUUAACCGCAGACUUGUAUUGCAGUGCAUACGUGGCAUUACUAAAUUCCACUACUAACUCAAUGUACCGAUCGGCGGCGAGGCGGUUGUUGCCGGCGGCGAUCUGCCGCCGCACUCUCCGAUUAGCCUCUCCUUCUCCCUUCUCAGCCCCAAUUGCACACCGAGCGGCGUUUUCAGCUGGCGCGGCCGACAACGCUCAUAAUCACAGACCUGAUAACACCGCUGCUUUCAAUUCGUCGCCGUCAACAGAUGAACGGCGGAACCCUAGAGCCACGGCCAGCCCCAAAGCUCACUGGCAAGAAGAGCAGGCUCGCGUUCUUCAGGCAUCGCUCGGCCACGUUAUUAGAUUAGGAUGGACAGAAUCUGCAAUGGUUGCUGGAGCGAAGGAGGUUGGUGUCUCUCCUUCUAUUGUAGGAUCUUUUCCUCGAAAGGAAGCUGCUCUUGUUGAGUAUUUCAUGGAUGAUUCUCUGCAAAAGUUAAUUGAUAUUAUUGACACAAAAGAGGAUUUGAAGAACUUGAUUCCGAGCCACCGUGUAUCCAAGCUUGUCAGGAUUCGCUUAGAGAUGCAGGCACCUUACAUCUCAAAGUGGCAUCAAGCACUUGGCAUACAGGCGCAACCUUUGAAUAUCUCUACAAGCUUCAAGCAAAGGGCAAUGCUUGUUGAUGAAAUUUGGCAUGCUGCUGGUGAUGUGGCCACUGAUACUGAUUGGUAUGCGAAGCGCACAGUCCUUGGUGCAAUAUAUUCGACAACCGAACUAUACAUGCUGACAGAUAAUUCCCCAGAUUUUCAGGACACAUGGGCUUUCUUGGAUGAUCGAGUUAGAGAUGCAUUUGACCUGAAAAAGUCACUUGAAGAGGAGAAAGGAAGUGCUUUGAACAGCAUACAUGCAUAAACAACCUUAAACUAGGUUGGGAGGAUCCGAGGAGGACAGAAAUUGCUCUUUAGGUAAAAUAUUUGGCCGAAGCAGUGGGAGCUGGGAUGGGAGGUCCUGUGCAAGGUUUUCUGAAUAAAAUUCUUAGGGGUUGAGCAUUUAGAAGGGUGGUAGAAAUAAUUUUACUGCUUCCAUUCUUCCUCCUUUUUCCUUCGUCUUUCAUUUUACAAUGUCGACUACAGCCUCUCCCUUCGAACUUCUCUUCGAUUGAAGGAGACUAUUGUAUGUAUGUUCAACAAGAAUGCUAGACGGUUUUAUCCCUGAUAUAUCCAGAAUCCUCUAUCUGGAAGAGUUAUUUUGCUUUAUCAGAGUUAAUGUUUUGUUUGGAUGAA